rnacentral:rRNA from 1 species
UGCAGUCGAACGGUAGCAGGCCUAUGUGAUCCCUUCGGGGUGAACUUGGUGCUGACGAGUGGCGGACGGGUGAGUAAUGCAUAGGAAUCUGCCCUUUAGCGGGGGAUAACUCGGGGAAACUCGGGCUAAUACCGCAUACGCCCUACGGGGGAAAGCGGGGGCCUUCGGGCCUCGCACUAUUGGAUGAGCCUAUGUCUGAUUAGUUUGUUGGUGGGGUAACGGCCUACCAAGGCGACGAUCAGUAGCUGGUCUGAGAGGACGAUCAGCCACACUGGGAUUGAGAUACGGCCCAGACUCCUACGGGAGGCAGCAGUGGGGAAUAUUGGACAAUGGGCGAAAGCCUGAUCCAGCAAUGCCGCGUGUGUGAAGAAGGCCCGAGGGUUGUAAAGCACUUUCAACAGUAAAGAAAAGUUCGGUGCUAAUACCACCGAACCCUGACGUUAGCUGUAGAAGAAGCACUGGCUAACUCCGUGCCAGCAGCCGCGGUAAUACGGAGGGUGCGAGCGUUAAUCGGAAUUACUGGGCGUAAAGCGUGCGUAGGUGGCUUGGUAAGUCGGAUGUGAAAGCCCCGAGCUCAACUUGGGAAUUGCAUUCGAUACUGCUAGGCUAGAGUAUGGUAGAGGGAAGUGGAAUUUCCGGUGUAGCGGUGAAAUGCGUAGAGAUCGGAAGGAACACUAGUGGCGAAGGCGGCUUCCUGGACCAAUACUGACACUGAGGUACGAAAGCGUG